AGCCUUAUAGUCAAAGUAUGAUGUUAGACUGCAAUUCUGAAGUAGUAGUAUAUGCUACUAAGGCUU
rnacentral:tRNA from 1 species